GGGAGCCGUAUGAGCUGAGAGGUUCACGUACGGUUCUGAGAGGGGCUAAGGGGGAGGUUCCUUUGGCCUGCUUACUUCAU
rfam:[Clostridium] litorale DSM 5388 strain W6 CLIT_2c, whole genome shotgun sequence.